UGGAUCUAACUAAGACAGGGCCCAGAUG
rnacentral:piRNA from 1 species